rnacentral:lncRNA from 13 species
AGGAAGAGGCAACUACGCUUUUAAAAAUCCAUGGAAAGAGCAAAUGCCACUUUUACAAUUCAUGUUCAGAGGGUUAAAUAAGGAACGUGAUAUGUAAUAGAAACCAUGUGUGUGUGUAAUACAGACAAAACAAAACGAAACUGAAACAUGGAUCGAUGGUGACUAGAAAACUGGUGACGUCGACCGCCGAACACCACCCGAACAAGGAGAAGGGCCAACUUCCGCGGAAGUCGUGACAGGGGUGUAGAUAACAUUUUGCCAUUUUAAAGCAAGUUUGCUAUAAUUCUGAACAUUUUACCAUUGGGCGGAGAGAAGAUUUAGCAAUGUUAUGUCAUGGAAUUGUACUUAUUUUUCCACGGGGUGUAGAGAUAAAUGUGCAGUUUCCCAGCUAAUUUCCUGCAAUUCUACACAUUUUGCCAUAGGAUGGAGGCAAAUGUUUGCAGUUUUUAAUAUAAUAAGUGAGGAUCAUUGGGCACCACCCCGCUUGGUAAUUCGACCAUGCUUACUACUAGUUUAGAUAGCUGGCUGCUAGACUAAUUUACCAAUCCAAAAUAAAAUAUCUGACAUGGGCUAAUUGAAUGAGUUCUAAUGCACCUUGUGUAUUCUAUUAUUCUAACUCUCAACAGGAAGCUGAGACCCCGACUGAGUUCCUAAAUUUUUUUAUAAUAAUAAUACAUUGACAUUUUUUGUUGUUGUGAAAUUGCCCCGGGUCCGCCAGUUGCCCAUCCCUGUUCUAAGUGAAAGUGAAAAUCGAAUGGCCAUAUCAAGUAACUUUCGUUUUAAGUCCUGGAUUUCCCCUUGUUUUGUGAGAUGAAAAACAAAACAACAUAUUGUUCUGUCACAGUGGAUUUAGGCAGAGAAAGGAAGAGGAGCUGACGGUUUUUUUUUUCGGUUGGGACUUAUGAUUAAAAGCCACUCAGAGGACAGUUGAUAAUGAGUGUCUCACUGCUGCUUGCACAGUCCAUUCCUCCAUCCCCACUGAAGUGCCCUUGUUGCCACCAGGCUGGGGCCAGAAAGGUCAAAGGCCAUCGUGCUGUGUGUCAACGCUGCUCCGAGGCUCUGCACCGUGUCUACCAGUUCUGCUGGGCUUGUGGGAGGGAGUGGCCUCAGUCAGGAGGAACCCUGGAGGGCCAAGGGAGCCAUUCCUCCUGCCCUCUGCCAGGCUGUGGCCUCAGGGCUGCCCUCCUCUCCCUAGAGGUCAUAGCUGAUCCCUGCAGUUCAGCCAAGGGAUGCCCCUUCUUCAGGGCCUGUCCUGGCUGUAAGGCCCUCCUCACUCACACCGGAAAGGGAUGCCCCAAUAUCGUCUGUCCACACUGCCAUAAAGUGUUCUGCUUCCGCUGCUUGAAGUGCUAUUUUGAGUAUGAUUAUUUUUUGGAGUCCCAUCUACAAUGCACUGUGGUGGGUAACAGUCAGUCUCUCAGAGAGCUGGGAAUGUAG